AGUGAACGCUGGCGGUAGGCCUAACACAUGCAAGUCGAACGGCAGCACAGUAAGAGCUUGCUCUUACGGGUGGCGAGUGGCGGACGGGUGAGGAAUACAUCGGAAUCUACUUUUUCGUGGGGGAUAACGUAGGGAAACUUACGCUAAUACCGCAUACGACCUACGGGUGAAAGCAGGGGAUCUUCGGACCUUGCGCGAUUGAAUGAGCCGAUGUCGGAUUAGCUAGUUGGCGGGGUAAAGGCCCACCAAGGCGACGAUCCGUAGCUGGUCUGAGAGGAUGGUCAGCCACACGGGAACGUAGACACGGUCCAGACGACUACGGGAGGCAGCAGUGGGGAAUAUUGGACAAUGGGCGCAAGCCUGAUCCAGCCAUACCGCGUGGGUGAAGAAGGCGUUCGGGUUGUAAAGCCCUUUUGUUGGGAAAGAAAAGCAGCAGGUUAAUACCCCGCGGUUCUGACGGUACCCAAAGAAUAAGCACCGGCUAACUUCGUG
rnacentral:rRNA from 1 species